rnacentral:lncRNA from 1 species
AUGUUCGCUCUACACACUUACGAACCACCGGAUUUCGGCGGCGGCUGCUGCUGCGACGGAGUGCAGAUUCAUCACCCUGACGAGGCUUCUGCCGUCCUCGCCGUACCUGAUGAGGUGGCCGUACAUCCGCAGCCAGUAGUCGGAGGCCUCAUCGACGGUGCGGUAGGUCCAGAUGUGUGGUCUGAGCCAGAGGCAGUCGACGAGGUCACCUCACGCGCCUCGUCUUCCACGCUGAUAGCAGCUGCCGGGGGGGGGAUCUUCUGCUCCAGCCGCGAGCAAGGCCGACGCAGCCGCAACCGGCACACGACGCCAUCGAAGGUCCGUGACGUGCCUGUCGUCGGACCAAAUACCGGCGACGCCGAGGCCGGGCAAGCACUCGACGAGGUCAGCCUCAGCUCCGUCACCGUUCCCGUCUCAGUGGUAGCAGCCGAAGCAGGUGGAGGGGCUGGAGAUCAUCGAGAUGGCCACCGGCGAGCGGCUGUCCCGCCUGCUUCGUGCGCCGCCGCUCCGGCCGCCGUCGCCCCACUACGCCCGCCUCCCUAGUCCACAUCGU